AGGGGAGCCUGAGAAAUGGCUACCACUUCUAAGGAGGGCAGCAGGCGCGCAAAUUACCCAAUCCUAAUACAGGGAGGUAGUGACAAUAAAUAACAAUGUAGGGAUUCAAAAUCUUUACAAUUGGAAUGAGAACAAUUUAAACCCCUUAACGAGUAACAAUUAGAGGGCAAGUCUGGUGCCAGCAGCCGCGGUAAUUCCAGCUCUAAUAGCGUAUAUUAAAGUUGUUGCAGUUAAAAAGCUCGUAGUUGGAUUUUAGUGGGGAAUUUAGAUGAUUGGUCGGAUAAGAAACUAUUCUUGUACUAGUUAUCACCCACUUUUACUUACUGGUUACUCGACUCUGUACUUUAUUGGAUGGAGUAGUAUCGCAAGGUAUCAUUAAGAGUUAAAUUGCUUGUAAAUGUAGGUUUGAG
rnacentral:rRNA from 1 species